UUCAAAGGCAACAAAAUCUCAAAUAUAUGCCAAAGGAAUUUCUUCACCGAUACUACUACUAGGGCAAUGGAAGCUAAAGAGAAAAUUAACAAAUGGGACUACAUCAAAAUAAAAAGCUUUUUCACAG